rnacentral:rRNA from 1 species
UGGGGAAUAUUGCACAAUGGGCGGAAGCCUGAUGCAGCAACGCCGCGUGAGGGAUGACGGCCUUCGGGUUGUAAACCUCUUUUAGCAGGGAAGAAGCGAGAGUGACGGUACCUGCAGAAAAAGCGCCGGCUAACUACGUGCCAGCAGCCGCGGUAAUACGUAGGGCGCAAGCGUUAUCCGGAAUUAUUGGGCGUAAAGAGCUCGUAGGCGGUUUGUCGCGUCUGCUGUGAAAUCCCGAGGCUCAACCUCGGGCCUGCAGUGGGUACGGGCAGACUAGAGUGCGGUAGGGGAGAUUGGAAUUCCUGGUGUAGCGGUGGAAUGCGCAGAUAUCAGGAGGAACACCGAUGGCGAAGGCAGAUCUCUGGGCCGUAACUGACGCUGAGGAGCGAAAGGGUGGGGAGCAAACAGGCUUAGAUACCCUGGUAGUCCACCCGUAAACGUUGGGAACUAGUUGUGGGGACCAUUCCACGGUUUCCGUGACGCAGCUAACGCAUUAAGUUCCCCGCCUGGGGAGUACGGCCGCAAGGCUAAAACUUAAAUGAAUUGACGGGGUCAUAGCUGUUUCCU